rnacentral:rRNA from 1 species
UACGGGGGGGGCAAGCGUUGUUCGGAAUUACUGGGCGUAAAGGGCUCGUAGGCGGCCAACUAAGUCGGAUGUGAAAUCCCCAGGCUUAACCUGGGAACUGCAUCCGAUACUGGAUGGCUUGAAUUCGGGAGAGGGAUGCAGAAUUCCAGGUGUAGCGGUGAAAUGCGUAGAUAUCUGGAGGAAUACCGGUGGCGAAGGCGGCAUCCUGGACCGGCAUUGACGCUGAGGGAGCGAAAGCCAGGGGAGCAAACGGGG